AAUAAAAACAAACAGAACAUGCAUUAAGCAUAUAUUUGGUUAUACUAAGGUUUUUUAUUCAAUUUCUCGUUAUGUCUAUCAAAAAUGUGCUUUCACUUCUUGCGGUUUUAUGCAUCAUUGUUUCUGUAAAUGCUCAAUUGCCACAGAUUCCUGGUCCGUUUCCUUUUCCAUUUCCGUUCCAACCGAUUCCUGGUAUGCCAGGAUUACUUGACAUAACAAAAUGUUUGUCAUCCGUGAUGGAUAUUCCCAGAUGCAUUACAGAAAUUUCUCAAUCUAUUUUCAUUGGAAAAUUCGGUAAUUUAGGUCCGGCUUGUUGCAAAGCAUUUUUGGAUGCUGAAGCCAAUUGUAUGCCCAAAAUUCCAUUCAUUCCGCUUUUUCCUCCAAUGCUAAAGGAACAAUGUUCAAGAAUUGCUGGUGCAACUCCUCCGACACCAAAAUAGAGCUUUAAUAU
rnacentral:sRNA from 1 species